UCUCCUACAAUGGUUUAAGGAACAAACUGUGAUUUUAUUUUCAGCUUCUCCCCAUUGAACUUAAUAGCAACAGACCGCCAAACACCAAACAUUUGCAAGGUAAAUACUAAGCUCCCUCAUUUCGAAUCCAGCUCGCAUAUCAUUCAAUAAGCAUGAUUAAUUAGAAAUGCGGACUGUAUAGAUGAGUAUAUGUUUAUGGUUCUGUAGACAGAAAUCAGUUUUUAUAUAUAUUCUCAUGAGGACUCUUAUGAUACGACGGCGAGAGUUGAGUUAUAGAAGCCAAGAGAGUUGAGUUAUGAACUGCACACACUAGAAAUCAUAACUCGCUGCAUCUUCAAUUAGAACACUUUGAGUUAGAACCGAACCUGUGUCGAUGAGCUAUGCGGAGACGGACAAAGGAUUUCCGCGAGAGAAGAGAAGAGGGCCUCCUCAGCGGUGUUGAACCCUGGGCUGCGCCGGCUUCGGAUCUGCUGAGGAAGAUGCGACGGUGGGGCUCUUGCAGCUGCUGGUCGAAAAUCAUCAGGGGACCCAGCCCCGACGGCGACGUUGCCGAUGAGCGCCAGCCUCGCCAAUUUCAGAGGCAGCAACAGCCAGCCUCGCCGGAACCAUUCGCGAGAGGGAGAGCUCUGCUUAUGAGCAGAAUUUCAGAUUGAGGGAGAGGAGCUCCGGUGCGAGGUGUCGAUCUACACCGGAGAGAAGGCGUCGACUCUGCCGAAAAUUGCAGGGCGGCGGCGCGGAGAUUUCAGAGAUGGAAGCUAAGCCUCGAUCUUCAUCGUCUUGGAAGAGAAAUCAAUGGUGAAGUGAGAUGGAUGGAGAUGGGAGACGCCAGAUUCAGAGGCGAGGCGUGGAUCUGUUAGUGAGGAACUGAGGGAAGGAGACACUGACCUAGGCGCAGGCGCAGGCGCCGACCAGCCGGCGAAUUCCGAGAGCAAGAUGCGGCUCCGCCGGAGUUUCAGAGCCGCUGAUAAUUCGCCGGAUUUUGAGAAGUGGUGGCAGCAAAUUUAGAGCGGAGAUGAGCAGACUUUUGCGAGGGACAACAGAAACUUGCAACUGAGAAACAGAGACUAUGGGCUAAUUUGAGUUGAGCGAGUUUUGGGCUGUUCUAAUUUUCCUUGAUUGGACCAGAAUAAUGGGCCCCAACUUUACUUAUUAGUUGGGCUGUUAUUAAAUGGAGUUGGGCUGCUGCAACUUUUUUAGAAAGGCUGAACAGUGGGCUUCGCUUAAAUUGUGUAUGGGCCGAUUUUUAUGUUUAAGAUGGGCUCAUUCAGAGAGA
rnacentral:lncRNA from 1 species